ACAAACGCUGGCGGCAUGCCUAACACAUGCAAGUCGCACGGACAGAACAGGGAAGCUUUUCGGAGUGGAACUGGAAAGUUAGUGGCGGAUGGGUGAGUAACGCGUGGACAACCUACCUUGUAAAGGGGAAUAACCUCGAGAAAUCGAAGCUAAUACCCCAUAAUAACCUUGCUUCGCAUGAAGUAAGGAGGAAAGGCGGCCUUAGCGCUGUCGAUACAAGAUGGGUCCGCGUCUGAUUAGCUAGUUGGUGAGGUAAGGGCUCACCAAGGCGACGAUCAGUAGCCGGCCUGAGAGGGUGAUCGGCCACAUUGGGACUGGGACACGGCCCAAACUCCUACGGGAGGCAGCAGUGGGGAAUCUUCCGCAAUGGGCGAAAGCCUUACGGAGCAAUGCCGCGUGAGUGAAGAAGGCCUUCGGGUUGUAAAACUCUGUCCUUAUCGAAGAGAGAGUGUUGUAGUAACUGACAAUACUAGGACGGUAGAUGAGGAGGAAGCCCCGGCUAACUAUGUG
rnacentral:rRNA from 1 species